GGAAGGGAAGCGCACCCCGGUGGGGCGCCCGGACUUCAAAUCCGGCGAGGCGCGCUCAGCGCGCCUGGUGGGUUCGACUCCCACUCCCUUCCGCCC
rnacentral:tRNA from 1 species